CAGUUGUCUUGAAAAUAACCAUAAAUCAAGAGAAUGACAGACCUUGAUGACAAAAUUUGCCCACGAAGGACAGCCGUGCUACCUUCCUGUUCAAGUGAGCACAGCACAACAAGUCUAUCAACGUUGCUACAUUUUGGUGCAAGACCUUCCUCAAGCCUUCAAAUGUUCCUGUGUCCCUCAACUGAAGUGAUCCCGUGACUCACCAGAGGUUCUUUCCCACCCACCAUUUGAGAAACAGUUUGAACUGAGCAAAGUCUUGAGAGAGGGAAGUAUAAGAAGACCUGAGCCCUAGGACCAUGCCCCAGGACUACCUGACAUGAUGACUCCUUG